rnacentral:rRNA from 1 species
GCAUAUCAAUAAGCGGAGGAAAAGAAACCAACAGGGAUUGCCCUAGUAACGGCGAGUGAAGCGGCAACAGCUCAAAUUUGAAAUCUGGCUCUCUUUGGGGGUCCGAGUUGUAAUUUGCAGAGGAUGCUUUGGCAUUGGCGGCGGUCUAAGUUCCUUGGAACAGGACAUCACAGAGGGUGAGAAUCCCGUACGUGGUCGCCUGCCUUUGCCGUGUAAAGCUCCUUCGACGAGUCGAGUUGUUUGGGAAUGCAGCUCUAAAUGGGAGGUAAAUUUCUUCUAAAGCUAAAUACUGGCCAGAGACCGAUAGCGCACAAGUAGAGUGAUCGAAAGAUGAAAAGUACUUUGGAAAGAGAGUCAAAAAGCACGUGAAAUUGUUGAAAGGGAAGCGCUUGCAGCCAGACUUGCCCGCAGUUGCUCACCUAGGCUUUGGCCUGGGGCACUCUUCUGCGGGCAGGCCAGCAUCAGUUUGGGCGGUUGGAUAAAGGCCUCUGUCACGUAUCUCCCUUCGGGGUGACCUUAUAGGGGAGGCGCAAUGCAACCAGCCCGGACUGAGGUCCGCGCAUCUGCUAGGAUGCUGGCGUAAUGGCUGUAAGCGGCCCGUCUUGAAACACGGACCAAGGAGUCUAACAUCUAUGCGAGUGUUUGGGUGUCAAGCCCGAGCGCGCAAUGAAAGUGAACGGAGGUGGGAACCCUUUGGGUGCACCAUCGACCGAUCCUGAUGUCUUCGGAUGGAUUUGAGUAAGAGCAUAGCUGUUGGGACCCGAAAGAUGGUGAACUAUGCUUGAAUAGGGUGAAGCCAGAGGAAACUCUGGUGGAGGCUCGCAGCGGUUCUGACGUGCAAAUCGAUCGUCAAAUUUGGGCAUAGGGGCGAAAGACUAAUCGAACCAUCUA